GAUGAACGCUGGCGGCGUGCCUAAUACAUGCAAGUCGAGCGAACAGACGAGGAGCUUGCUCCUCUGACGUUAGCGGCGGACGGGUGAGUAACACGUGGAUAACCUACCUAUAAGACUGGGAUAACUUCGGGAAACCGGAGCUAAUACCGGAUAAUAUAUUGAACCGCAUGGUUCAAUAGUGAAAGACGGUUUUGCUGUCACUUAUAGAUGGAACCGCGCCGCAUUAGCUAGUUGGUAAGGUAACGGCUUACCAAGGCAACGAUGCGUAGCCGACCUGAGAGGGUGAUCGGCCACACUGGAACUGAGACACGGUCCAGACUCCUACGGGAGGCAGCAGUAGGGAAUCUUCCGCAAUGGGCGAAAGCUUGACGGAGCAACGCCGCGUGAGUGAUGAAGGUCUUCGGAUCGUAAAACUCUGUUAUUAGGGAAGAACAAAUGUGUAAGUAACUAUGCACGUCUUGACGGUACCUAAUCAGAAAGCCACGGCUAGCUACGU
rnacentral:rRNA from 1 species